UGGGGAAUAUUGGACAAUGGGCGCAAGCCUGAUCCAGCCAUGCCGCGUGAGUGAUGAAGGCCUUAGGGUUGUAAAGCUCUUUUGUCCGGGAAGAUAAUGACUGUACCGGAAGAAUAAGCCCCGGCUAACUUCGUGCCAGCAGCCGCGGUAAUACGAAGGGGGCUAGCGUUGCUCGGAAUCACUGGGCGUAAAGGGCGCGUAGGCGGAUUAAUAAGUCAGGGGUGAAAUCCCGGGGCUCAACCUCGGAAUUGCCUUUGAUACUGUUAGUCUUGAGAUAGGAAGAGGUAAGUGGAAUUGCGAGUGUAGAGGUGAAAUUCGUAGAUAUUCGCAAGAACACCGGUGGCGAAGGCGACUUACUGGUCCUUAUCUGACGCUGAGGCGCGAAAGCGUGGGGAGCAAA
rnacentral:rRNA from 1 species